rnacentral:misc_RNA from 1 species
CAACCCUCAAGCCUGGCUUGGUAUUGGGCGCCGUCCCCCGGGGCGCGCCUGGAAAGCAGCGGCGGUGCGGCCGGUGAUCGAGCGUAGUAACUACUCCCGCUUCGAGCCACCCGGGCGUUCCAGCCGGACAACAUCUAUCUUUCAAC